GUUUAAAUAGCUUAAAUAACUAAAGUUUUUCUUUGAAGAUGAAAAGAUGAUUUUUAAAAUCUUUAAACA
rnacentral:tRNA from 1 species